AUCUAAUUCUCGAAGGGAUCGGGGUUUCCUUGCAAACUCUACUGGUAUAUACCUACGCAUCUGAGUUAGACUUUCUGAAAUCCUGUCAACAAGACUAGAGGACAAACGAAACAUCAGAGGGCCCCUCAGCCAAAUGUUUAGCAAUCGUCGCAUUACACCUAAACAUGCAAGGUGCAUGUAAUCAAGGGGAAACCGAGUUACCAUACCAACAUCUAAAUUAGAAAAUCCAUGAGGUCCUUCAUGGUGAUGAUCCUCAUCAGCUCUCUCUGAAAAUGAUGAGUCAGUCCGUAACAUGUAAUUAUUUAAAGGGUAAGUCAUUCGUCUGUUAAUGUAAACACCUGGCUGGGAACAUUUAUCACAUCCGUGAUAUCCAUUGUGAGCCUUUGUGUUUUUUACAAAUGCCCUAGCAGGUGUAUCACACACAACAGAAACCAGUUCAAGGAACACUUUUUUCCCACUGAAAUCAAAACCUCUCUGUAGCUGUUGUAACUCACAUGUGAAGUCUCGCAAAAAUUCUUCAGCUGGAUAAGGUUUUUUACUGCCACAAAAAAUGCCUAUGACAACAGGUUCCUUCAUUGGAACACUUAACAGAAGUCCUAAAAUAGGCCAAAACUGAAUAUUUGUGCUUUUAAACAGUGGUAACCCAUCAAUAUUAAUCUGCAGCUUGAAUUUAAAGCCAUCAGCAACAUUGCGUAUAUGUUGAGAUAAGGUGUUACGAAGCGCUGCCAAGAUACCUGUAUAAUGAUACAACCCACCACAUUUUUCUUGUAUUUUGUAAUUAAUUUCUGUUUUGAGGACAGUCCUAGCAUCUUUUGGCAGUUCUGGGUGGUACACCCUCAACAGGGUAAGGAGGGCUGUGAGCGCGACCAAAGAAAUACUGAACUGUACAGCCCAAUUGGCUAAGCUGUCCAAAAGGCUCACAUGCUCUUCAUCAGUGUCAUCAUCAGACUCUGAAACCAUUUCUUCUCCCCCCCAUUCUAUGUCUGUGUGAUGGUCAUCUGAAUUGUCAUCCUCCACUUGAGGAGUAACGCUAGAGUCACAAUCAUGGUUGCCAUCGCUGUCAUUGGUGUUGUCACAUGGGUCUGCCCUGUUUUCUACCGCCUGUUCUGUUAAAUGAGAGUCGUCUGCAAUGUCAUGGAGUCGUUUUUCUAAUGCAAAGCGUGCCCUCUGCCUGACUCCGGAGUCUGUUAAUGGAGGUUGCCUCCUUUUCAUCUUCUCUCUAAAAUAGAUUCUGACAGAAAUACAUGUUUUAGGGUCCAUCUGGGGUUUAACCCCAGCCCUCUACUGAUCUUUAUUUAUUUAUUUUCCACUGUAUAUGUGUGUGUAUCAGACAUUUAUCUGAAUAACAACAAAGUUAAUACAAAAACAACUAAACAAGUUAACUUUUUACUCCUUAUACCCAUAAAUAUUGUAACACAUUGUAUGUUUGUGUGUUUGACUCACCUUCCUGUUGUGCUGAAGACGUGAUGUGUGACUCCUUUCUGUUACAGUAUUCCAGAUAAACCUCAAACUGAAAGAACAUUUUUUACAUGAUUAAGAUUAUUAUUGUUUUAACAAAUGAAUACGAUCAGAUAUUAUUUCUCAGAUCAGAAUCAACUAAUUAAAUGCCGUUUCAAAUUAUAUGGUGAAAUAAUAAAAUACAAUGGAAAGUGCAUGAUUUUUGAUUGGCCGAUUGACUCUGAAAACUAGCUAUUCACAAGCGACAACUUGCUUCUGAAUGGUCAUUUCAAGUAAUUGACAGUUGCCGUUGCCAAUGCUCAUCCAUAUCCUGUCUGGCUAAAGAUCCUACUGUACUGUAGGACUGUAGAGCUACAAAUGAGCAACGGACAGCGACGUUGAAGAGAACUGUUCAACAUCGAGUGAGCAGAGCGUUGAAGAUUCUUCCUGGUGAUCUGCUGCCCAUCAUCAACAGUGUUGGGGACUUCUGUGUGCUUCUUCUCACUUCCUGC